rnacentral:lncRNA from 1 species
UUUUUAACACUUGAAUAUAAAUUUAUUGCACUAAAGCUGUUAACAAUGACCUUACCGCUACAGCUUUAACUGUAAGGUACCCUGAAAUAGUUAGUAUCUAUAAGAACAGGGUUUCAUAUAGAUAAGUAUUUUUUCUUAAAUUUUAUAUUAGUAUAUUACAAUUAAAUACAAUGUUCAAUAAUAAUGUAAUACAAUUCAGUACCCUGAUCUGAAAUAAAUGAUAUAUUUUCCUUCUAUACAUGUAAUCAAAUUAAAUAACGCCCAUUUAAUACUCUUAUCCGAAAUUGAAUGUUUGGUGUCAAUUAUCUCGUUUAAAAAUUACAUGAUUUAAGAGUGUGUGACAUCGAUUUUCUUGAUCGGAAGGUUUACCUUGUUUAAAGGUGAGAGAGAGCAUGCUUUUUAAUGGAUGUAUGUUGAAUUAGGCUACUUUACUUCUUUUUUAUUUGGAUUUUAAACAUUUUAGGUGAGUCUUUUCUUUAUUUUUAUUUAUUUAGUUAAAGUGUUCUAGAAAUAUCUUCUUUAAGAGUGUUUUAUUUUGGAGAAAUUAAAGUUUGAAGCACUUGGACUGUAGUAUAUUCUUGUAGAUUGUAGGAUCUUAAGUAUUCGUCCAGUUCAACUUUAAACAGAUUGAAUACAUUAGUAGAUUUAUUUCUCUGAUCGGAUACAUAGUAUGAUUUGUAGAUAGCAAAUCCUAUAAGUGUCAGAAUUAUAUUGAAUCCGAUAUACUCAUUAUCUGUUAUUUUGUAGCCUAUUACAAUGUCUUUUAAGUUAAUGUUUUUGUUAAAAUUCAUUUGAGAUAAGAUUUUAUUAAUGAUUUCCCAAAAUUCUUUUAGAAAUUUACAUUCGAUAAAAAAGUGUUGAUACGUGUCUUUGAGUUGACAAAGUUGACAAAACGGACUAGUUACGAUUUUCCAUUUAUAGAGAUUAUCUCUAUUCGGUAAAAUGCAAGUUAUUAGUUUCCACCUAAACAUUUUAAGUUUAUUAAGUUUUAAAUGUUGGUGUAUAAACUUAAACAUAUAUUUGGUAAAGUCAUAAUUUAUUUCUAAUUCAUUUUUCCAUUUAUUUAUGCCAAUGUUUUGGAGAAAUUUUUUUUUUGAACGAGCAAUUGAUACACGUUUUUGUUGCUUAAAUUUUCAAUUUUAAUGUUUUCUUUGUUUAUAUUGAUAAAUAAUCUGUUAAAAUUUACUUUUGAUUUGAUGGAUUCUUCUGUAGCUAAAAUUUUUAGCCAUGAGGUUGGAAUUGAGUUUUUUACUUUUGAAAUUUCUGCUAUCCAAUUUUUAGUGUUUCGCAGUUUUCUAAAUAUUUUAUCUUGGGCAAUUUUUCCAUUAUCGUCAAUAAUAUCGUUAAUGUAAAUAAAAUCACUGUGUAUCCAGUUAUGCAUAAUAAGCGGCUUGUUUUGAAAUUUUAUAAAUUUAUUACCCCAGAUAACUUGCUUUCUUAUUUCGACAAAGUUUUUCAAUUCUGUGAUGUUCGUUUCAUGAAAUAAAAUCCAACUUUUUAUUAUUUCUAAGUAAAAUUCUGGAAUGUCCUUAGUUAUGUAAUCUAGUUUUUUUAAAGUUUGGUUGUUUAAAUUCAUUCUAAAAAUGAGGAAAUUAGAACCUAAUUUACUUAAAAAUAAUUUUGGUAUCAAUGUCCAAUUUUCUUGUUUUGCCUGUAGCAAUCUAGAGACCCAUCUUAUUUGAAGAGAGGAGAAAUAGCUUUUUAUGUCGGUCAUUUUUAAGCCCUCCCUGGUUAUAAUCUGCUACCAAAGUAUGUCUUUUAACUUUGUCUUUCUUAUUGUUCCAUAUAAAACCAAAAAUUUCUCUUUCUAUAUCAACUAUUUUUGAGUUACUUAAAGCUGUAACAUUUGCUAAAAAAGUAAAUUGUGGUAUAAUGAGAGUUUUAACUAUUAGAAUUUUGCCUAAAAUGGUUAAGUUUCUUUUUUUCCACGAUGUUAUCAGGUUUCGACUCUUUUCAAAUCUUGUAUCCCAAUUUAAUUUUUCACAAUCUUUUUUAUUAAUGCCGAAAUAUAUACCUAGCACUUUUACAGGUUUGUCCGUGAAUUUAAUUUCAUCUACUUUAUCUCUACAAUGCUUUAGUUUACCAAUCCAAAUUCCUUCCGUUUUAUUUUUGUUUAGUUGUAAUCCAGAAAAAGUUCCAAAAAUUUCGAUUAUAUUUAAUGCUGUUCGGAUUUCUUCUUUAGAUUUUAGGAAUAGAGUUGUAUCAUCAGCCACUUGCGUGAUUUUUAAGCAAUGUGUUUUACUAUCAAUUUUUAAUUCUAUGCCUGUUAUAUUUUUGUUUUGCCUUAGUUGGUUAGCCAUUAUUUCUACUGACAUUACGAAAAGUAUAGAAGAGCACGGGCAUCCCUGUCGGAUACCUCUUAGGGGUCUAAAGGGGGCAGAUAUCCAACCGUUAUUAAAUAUAGAACUAUAUUUGUAUACAAGGUUUUUAUCCAGUUUAUGAAGGGUUUAUUAAAACCAAAAUAUUCUAAAGUAUGAUACAUAAAAUUCCAUUCUAAUGUGUCGAAAGCUUUCGAAAAAUCUAUGAAUAAAAUUGCUCCUUCUAUAUUAAACUUAUCUGCGUAAUCUAUAACAUCUUGUAUUUGGCGUAAAUUAAAACCUAUAAAUCGGUUCUUUAUGUAACCGGUUUGAUCGGCAUUAAUGAUUAAAUUUAAGAUUUUUUUUAUUCUUAAAGCUAGAGUGUAUGAAAGUAUUUUGUAAUCACUAUUUAAUAAUGAUAUUGGUCUAUAAUUUGCAAGUUCUAAAGGAUCAUUUUUUUUAUAAAUUAGAUUCAGUAAACUUUGUCUUUGCGUAAAUGGCAGAUAUUUAUUUUCAAAGCUAAAAUUAAAAAUUUUUACAAGCAUCGGUCCGAGAAGUUCCCAAAACUUUUUAUAAAAGUUUAUACUUAUUCCGUCCAUACCAGGACUUUUGUUUAUCUUUAGAUUAUUGACUGCAAUGGUUAAUUCUUCUAGAGUUACAUUUCCAUCACAAGACUUACUUUCUUCUUCUGACAGUUUAUAAUUACGUUUUGUUUCAGAAAUGUAUUUUUUAACAUCUAUAUCCGGUUUUUGUUUAGUGUCGUAUAGAUUAGCAUAAAAAUCUCUUUCAAGCUUUAAUAUUUCAUCUUGAUCUGUUACUAUAUCACCCUUAUCGUUUUUUAGUUUAAGUAUUGUCUUUUUCGUUUGUUUAGAUUUUUCAAGACCUAGGAAAUAUGCAUUAUUUUUUUCUCCCUUUUCUACCCACUCUUGUCUUGAUCUUAUUUGAGCUCCUUUUGCUUUGUAUUCAUAUUGAUUUUCUAGCUCUUUCUCUAAAGUGGAUAUUGUUUCUUUAAUAAAAUCAUUAUCUUCAUUAUUAGAUUUUUCAUAUAAUAUUUUUAAUUGUAGUUCUAAAUUACGCGUUACAUUUUUUCUUAGUUUAGCUUUACUUUUACUAUACUGAAUACUGUAUUCCUUUAUUUCCAACUUGAGGGAGUCCCACAGAAGUCUAGGAUCUAUUUCAUUUUUUCCUAUCUCAUUACUUUGUUUUUGUAUAAUUUGAUUUAUUUUGUCUUCGUAUUCUUGCUCGUCGAGAAUACCGUUGUUAAUUUUCCAGUAUCCCGGGCCUCUUGUUUCAGAUGAUACAGAUUGUAAUUGUAUUGAUACUGCUUGGUGAUCAGUACUUUUAAUAAGAAUAGGCCUAAUAUCACAUGACUUUACGUUUAACACAAAGUCUUUUUUAACAAGGAACAUGUCAAUUCUACUAGACUGGACUGGAUUUUUACGUCUCCAUGUGUAUUGGAUCUUUUGAGGGUUAACGUAUCUCCAUAUAUCUAUGAGAUCAUUUGAUUUAAUUAAAUUUUUUAGGCUAUUAACUGGUUUACUUACUUUUUUACGAAUAUUUGAGCUUUUCCUAUCUUCAUUUUUAAGGGCAUCGUUCAUGUCUCCUCCUAAAAUUAUUGUACCUAUUGCGUUUUUGUUUAAAAAAGUCAUUUUAAUUUUUAUAGAAGCUAUUUCGUUCAGAUUCUAUAUUUGGGGCAUAUAUGUUUAUAAGAGAAUAUAUUAUAUUUUCAAAUUCAAUAUUUAUCAUAAUUAUUCGACCUUCUAAAUCUUUAUGCUCGUCUAUUAAUUUAUAGUCUAGUUUGUUAUUAAUUAAUAUUGCAACUCCUCUGCUGGAAGUCGUUCCGUGACUAUAGUAGCAAGAAUGAUCUGAUUCUAUUGUUAGGGCAUUUUCUAGGGAUGUAUUGAAAUGAGUUUCUUGAAUAAAAGUUAUUUUACAUUUCUGAUUUUUUAUCCAUUGAUAAAAUCUCAAUCUCUUUUGUUUAUCUCGAAGUCCUUUAACAUUUGCUGUACAAAUGUGUAGGUUAUUUAGCAUAUUUUGAUUAAAAGUUGUUCGAUUUGUUUAAUACCUUUACUUAGUGAGCGUACAUCACGUUUUAGUGGCAUUUUUAAGGUAAACUUUAUUUCUCCUAGUUUUGAUCGUAUUUUUUUUAACGUGGGAGUUACCUGUGAAAAUAAUUAUGUUAACCAAUUUUCUUUUUUGUAAUUGGAUUAUAACAAUAUUGUUAUAGUCUGUUUCACGAUUGUGUUUUGACCGAUAUUUAGAUGUUAAUUUUGAAACAGCAUAUAAAACAUACUCAUACACAAUUACUAUAUAUAUGAAAUAUAUAAAACACAAUGUAUACAAAACUAUAAUAACUGAAAUUACAAAAUAAUACAUGUUUUGCUGAUUACAAACUAGAACAAAUGUAUGGUUUUGACAGUGAAAAAAUGAUAAUCUCUUUCUAGUUUUCCAAUUUCGUAAUGUGUAAAUAAUGUCAAAUCUAUGAUACUCUAGUAAAGUACUGCUUUUUUUUUGAUGUUUUGUUUUCCGUAACAUUUUGACAGUGUUUAUUUAAUUUUUUCUUAAUAUUUUCCUUUUUUCUAUUUUCAGUUACCUUAUAUGAUUUACGGUGUUCAGAUGUUCUAAGAAGAGAUGUUAAUAUGGUAGGUAAAUCUUUUCUUUUGAUUUGAUAUUUU